GAGAGGCGCCAAUAUCAUAUUGUACAUUGAACGGUAGCUAUCGGAUGUAUUUGAUAAUCCUAGCAACCGUCUUUGUGCAAAACGAUGUGGCACACAUU
rnacentral:pre_miRNA from 1 species